GAUGAACGCUGACAGAAUGCUUAACACAUGCAAGUCAACUUGAACUUCGGUUUGGGUGGCGGACGGGUGAGUAACGCGUAAAGAACUUGCCUCACAGAUAGGGACAACAUUUGGAAACGAAUGCUAAUACCUGAUAUUAUGAUUUUAGGGCAUCCUAGGAUUAUGAAAGCUAUAUGCACUGUGAGAGAGCUUUGCGUCCCAUUAGCUAGUUGGAGAGGUAACGGCUCACCAAGGCGAUGAUGGGUAGCCGGCCUGAGAGGGUGAUCGGCCACAAGGGGACUGAGACACGGCCCUUACUCCUACGGGAGGCAGCAGUGGGGAAUAUUGGACAAUGGACCAAGAGUCUGAUCCAGCAAUUCUGUGUGCACGAUGAAGUUUUUCGGAAUGUAAAGUGCUUUCAGUUGGGAAGAAAAAAAUGACGGUACCAACAGAAGAAGUGACGGCUAAAUACGUGCCAGCAGCCGCGGUAAUACGUAUGUCACAAGCGUUAUCCGGAUUUAUUGGGCGUAAAGCGCGUCUAGGUGGUUAUGUAAGUCUGAUGUGAAAAUGCAGGGCUCAACUCUGUAUUGCGUUGGAAACUGUGUAACUAGAGUACUGGAGAGGUAAGCGGAACUACAAGUGUAGAGGUGAAAUUCGUAGAUAUUUGUAGGAAUGCCGAUGGGGAAGCCAGCUUACUGGACAGAUACUGACGCUGAAGCGCGAAAGCGUGGGAGCAAACAGG
rnacentral:rRNA from 1 species